rnacentral:rRNA from 1 species
GUCUUUUUGAUUUAUAAUUUAAAGUCUAACCUGCUCAAUGAUAAUUUUAAAUAGCUGCGGUAUUUUGACCGUACAAAGGUAGCAUAAUCAAUAGUUUUUUAAUUGAAAACUGGAAUGAAAGGUUGAAUAAAAAAAUAACUGUCUCUAAUUUACUUUUUUAGAAAUUUAUUUUUAAGUUAAAAAGCUUAAAUUUAUUUUAAAGACGAGAAGACCCUAUAGAGUUUAAUUUUUAAUUAUUAAUAAAAUUUUAUAGAAAAAAAAAUUUAUUUUUAAUUAAAAAUUUAAUUGGGGUGAUUAAAAAAUUAAAUUAACUUUUUUUAUUUUUAAACAAUAAUUUUUGGUUUAUUUGAUCCAUUAAAAUGAUUAAAAGAUUAAAUUACCUUAGGGAUAACAGCGUAAUUUUUUUUAAGAGUUCAAAUCGAAAAAAGAGAUUGCGACCUCGAUGUUGGAUUAAAAUUUAUUUUUGGUGAAGAUGCUAAAAUAUUAGGUCUGUUCGACCUUUAAAAUUUUACA